GCCUGGAUGGUGGAAUUGGUAGACACGAGGGAUUCAAAAUCCCUUGACUUAGGUCGUGAGGGUUCAAUUCCCUUUCUGGGCACCA
rnacentral:tRNA from 1 species